GGAAGGAUCAUUAKUGAUUAUGAACGGUUGUCUUCUGUGCUGGCUGCGGCAAGUGCACGGAGGUGACUUUCAUCCAACACCCUUGUGAACCUUUGGCCUCUUGCUGGCUUCGGCUGGCUGAGGAUUUACACAAACUCGCAUGUAUUGAGGACCCAUUAUGUGCGCAAGCACUAAUAUACAACUUUCAACAACGGAUCUCUUGGCUCUCGCAUCGAUGAAGAACGCAGCGAAAUGCGAUAAGUAAUGUGAAUUGCAGAAUUCAGUGAAUCAUCGAAUCUUUGAACGCACCUUGCACCCUUUGGCAUUCCGAAGGGUAUGCUCGUUUGAGUGUCAUUGUACUCUCACACUCCCAAUCGCUUUGGAUU
rnacentral:misc_RNA from 1 species